rnacentral:rRNA from 1 species
CCAAACUGUUGCCUCGGCGGGGUCACGCCCCGGGUGCGUCGCAGCCCCGGAACCAGGCGCCCGCCGGAGGGACCAACCAAACUCUUUUCUGUAGUCCCCUCGCGGACGUUAUUUCUUACAGCUCUGAGCAAAAAAUUCAAAAUGAAUCAAAACUUUCAACAACGGAUCUCUUGGUUCUGGCAUCGAUGAAGAACGCAGCGAAAUGCGAUAAGUAAUGUGAAUUGCAGAAUUCAGUGAAUCAUCGAAUCUUUGAACGCACAUUGCGCCCGCCAGUAUUCUGGCGGGCAUGCCUGUCCGAGCGUCAUUUCAACCCUCGAACCCCUCCGGGGGGUCGGCGUUGGGGACCUCGGGAGCCCCUAAGACGGGAUCCCGGCCCCGAAAUACAGUGGCGGUCUCGCCGCAGCCUCUCCUGCGCAGUAGUUUGCACAACUCGCACCGGGAGCGCGGCGCGUCCACGUCCGUAAAACACCCAACUUCUGAAAUGUUGACCUCGGAUCAGGUAGGAAUACCCGCUGAACUUAAGCAUAUCAAUAAGCGGAGGAA